UUAGCGGCGGACGGGUGAGUAACACGUGGGUAACCUACCUAUAAGACUGGAAUAACUUCGGGAAACCGGAGCUAAUGCCGGAUAACAUAUAGAACCGCAUGGUUCUAUAGUGAAAGAUGGUUUUGCUAUCACUUAUAGAUGGACCCGCGCCGUAUUAGCUAGUUGGUAAGGUAAUGGCUUACCAAGGCGACGAUACGUAGCCGACCUGAGAGGGUGAUCGGCCACACUGGAACUGAGACACGGUCCAGACUCCUACGGGAGGCAGCAGUAGGGAAUCUUCCGCAAUGGGCGAAAGCCUGACGGAGCAACGCCGCGUGAGUGAUGAAGGUUUUCGGAUCGUAAAACUCUGUUAUUAGGGAAGAACAAAUGCGUAAGUAACUGUGCGCAUCUUGACGGUACCUAAUCAGAAAGCCACGGCUAACUACGUGCCAGCAGCCGCGGUAAUACGUAGGUGGCAAGCGUUAUCCGGAAUUAUUGGGCGUAAAGCGCGCGUAGGCGGUUUCUUAAGUCUGAUGUGAAAGCCCACGGCUCAACCGUGGAGGGUCAUUGGAAACUGGGAAACUUGAGUGCAGAAGAGGAAAGUGGAAUUCCAUGUGUAGCGGUGAAAUGCGCAGAGAUAUGGAGGAACACCAGUGGCGAAGGCGACUUUCUGGUCUGUAACUGACGCUGAUGUGCG
rnacentral:rRNA from 1 species